UAAGACAGGCGAGCCAGUCUGCAUGUGGUUGUGGAAAGGAAGUCGUAGGUAUAAUAACAAUAAUACACAAUAAUAAAUAGAAAAAAACGAUGAGGGCAUGUGUCUGGUUAAAGAAAUGACCACAGAAUGAAUCGUGAAAAACCCUCCCUCCCAUUUGGCUGGAUUGUGAAACAGUCGUCAACGUACCCGGAACGUGUCUACUACUUCAACACACACAGUGGUGUAACAACAUGGGAAAUGCCUCAUCUCGUCAAAACGAACAACAAUGCUAUACCUCCACCUUGUCAUGCAGGAAAGGAACAAUUCAGUCCACCAUGCAGUCCUCGCUACUCUCCGACCGACUCCUCCGAUGAUUCCCCAUAUUACAGUGAAGCAGAAAAGCAGGACCCCCAGAAUGAGCCUGUGUUUAGUCAGUUCCAGAAGAACAUCUAUGAUGAUGUGAUUUCCAACUCUCCGUCUCACGAAAAAGACGAACAGGUAAGACCCACCAAAGAACAGUCCACUGGACAAGUACCAAAAAGAUCUCAAGGAAAAUGUCCGGACACCAGUUAUAAACACAAAGUCCGUGAGAAAGUGUCUAUGAAGGAGGAGAAGUGUAAGUCUGAGGAGAAAGUUCCUCGAGUUAAAUUCAAAAUAGAGACGCCUGAUUCAAAAUUACAGGUGAAAAAGGAAGUGAGUGACAAGCCAAGGAAGUUUGCACAAGGUGACCGACAACACUCCUUUAAUAUUUCCAAAGUGUUAACAGAAAUCAGAAAAGAUGUUGAGUCUUCUGAUAAUGUUAAAACUUCAAAGAAGAAAACUACAUCGGGAAGUGAUUCUGUUAGUAGUAUACAGAGGAUGGGGGAAUUCCCACUGCCGCUUACGAGGAAAAUUGGCAGGAGAGAGGUUGUGCGUUCAUCGGAACAUAACAAAACACAAGACAAAUCUCCACUAAAAAAGAAGGGUGAAAGUGGCAGGAGAGAGGUGGUGCGUUCACCGGAACAUAACAAAACACAAGACAAAUCCCCACGGACAAAGAAGGGGGAAAGUGGCAGGAGAGAGGUGGUGCGUUCAUCGGAACAUAACAAAACACAAGACAAAUCCCCACGGACAAAGAAGGGUGAAAGUGGCAGGAGAGAGGUGGUGCGCUCAUCAGAACGUCACAAAACACAAGACAAAUCCCUGACUGCUGCUGGAGCAGGGCGGUUUUCUAAUCUAGUACAUUUGAAACAGGGCAAGGACCCUGAGACGGUACCCAGUUCGUCAAGCAAAGAUUUGUGGACACGGAAAAGAAAAAAUUCAGAUUCCCCCACCAGUGAUGUUGUGCCUGUGAAAAUUGUGCCAAAGAAUAAUUUGUCUCUAAAAGUAUCAGUUGGAGAGAAGAGGAAAGUUGUAUUGAGUCCUCAAAGAAGGACUAAAUGUAGCCGUCAAUCAUCAGGUGAAUAUCUUGACCUCAAUGUGGAAGACCAGACAGUAGCAGAUCGUCUUCAGCGUGUCAAUCAAAAUACUUCAGCUGUUGUUGUUCGAUCACCUGUGUUUGACAGGUUGAAUGUUUCAAGUGAAGUAAGUCCGCUGAACAUUCCAGGCCCCAGUGCUGCAGUCCUCUCCCCAGUUAGAAAACAUAGACCUAACCAUCAGCCUGAUGUCAGGAGGGUGGUCUCGUCGGACAGUGAGGCUAACACUAACAACAGUGUCCCUGGGGACCCCCCCGGUCCUCGACCCCCUCCACAGGCAGACAGACUUGACCGCGUCCAGGAGUGGAUAGAUCUUAUUAAUGGGAGUCAGGAGGUCCAGCCGGAAACACCUGCAUGGUCUCAGCCUUCUGUUCAGGUUCAAGCCCUGCUAGAGCAUCCCCAGGAUGAGGAUGAGGUCUGUGACAUGGAGGUGGACGAAGACACCGACGAGGACGAGGAUCAGAUGAUAAUAGAUCUUCAAGAAGUCCGAGGAGAAUUAGAGUUCAGUUCUAGUCAGUCAGCGUUUGACCUGUCUCUGCCAUGUUCGGCUACACGGGCUGAAGCAGCCUCACAGGGGCUGUAUCUGGUUGUGGACACGAGUGUGCUCGUUAAUCACCUGAAGCCUCUGUCUGACCUGCAUGAUGAGGACAUACAAGGGUUCGGGCUGCCGACGCUGGUGUUCCCCUGGGUGGUGCUGCAGGAACUCGAUGCCCUCAAGGACAACCGGGCACGGCUAAGUCUCUCCAUGAGCUGCCAGAGCAAGGCGAGUCGAGCUGUCAAAUACAUCAAUGCCUGCUUCACCGGGAGACAUCCCAGAGUAACUGGCCAGUCUCAUAGAGAGGCAGCGGAGAUGGUGGAGGGGCUGGAGAUAGAAUGCAACGAUGACCGGGUGCUACAAUGCUGCUUGCAGUUCAGAAAUAAGUUUCGGACGUUGAGUGUGAUUCUCCUGUCGGAGGACGUCAACCUGUGUAACAAAGCCAUGAUGUGUGGGCUGGAUGCAGGCAGCAUCAAGAAUAUUCAUGGAAUCCUCGUCCUAUCUCAAGCUGUUCAAGAGCCCAACAGUGCUCAAGGAACAAACACAGUGCCUGUGAUACCCCUCACAUCACCACCAUGUCCCUCACCAGUCACGCAAGGGACACGCCCUCGUACCUCAUCAGUCACAACAGAGAAACAGGGUCACACCACGUUCGUCACACCUGUUCGUCCUGCUCAGAUGAACCGAGUCCAGAUUGACGAGAUGGUGGUGAAGGUCAAGGCUGUUGUCAAGGACACACUUGGUCUGGUUCUUGAGACCGAGAUGAAAGCAGCAUAUGACAACAUUUGGAAGACUGUUGUCUACCGGAAGCCACCUUGGUCUGCUGUGGACAUCAUGGAAUCCAUCAGGAAGCACUGGAUGGCUGUGUUUGGUAUGAUCUUGCCGAAGCAGAUGUCCAACACUGUCAACUCCAUCACCACCAAGUUCCAGCCUAACAAAGUUCCCCUCCUGAGGAGCUGUGAGGUGCUAGAGCUGAUACAGGAGCUGAUGCAGCUCAUGGAGGCACUGCAAAAACAUUCCAGCUAUAAGGGCAGAGUAAGCAUUUCUAUAGACAAACUGAAGACUGUGCAGAUGCAACUACACCACCUGAAGACUGCACCAACCUCAUCAACACCAACAUCAUCAACACCUUCAUCAUCAACACCAACAUCAUCAACACCAGCUUCAUCAACAGCACCAUCGUCUACACCUACACAGCCCAGAACAUUUACAUGCAAGCCUGUUGCCAGUCAGUCGUCCACACCGACACAAGUCUCUGUUGACCGUCCUGCUCCUUCCACACAUAGAGAUGUCACUCCUAGUCCCCGGCGACCUUCACAAGCAGGCUCUGCAGCCACCGGGACAAGCUCUGACUCCCUAGUCAAACCCUCCGGCUCGAGUCUAGCUGGGUCCAGAAUCAGGGUCAGACCUGCCGGCACUGCUCAAGCCUCCACCAGCUACAACACCGCUACAACCGCUGUCACGGCAACCCCCACAGCUAGGCAGCCUGUCCACACACAGGAUCCGACUGUGGUACAGGACUGUUUCCAGCUUGUGUGGGCGAAUGUGUACCAAGUGUGUGUGGAGAUCGAAGCCUCCCUGUCGCAGUCCGUCAACAACAGCUACCUCAGUCUAUUGACUCGCCUCACCAGGAUCAUCAAGGACCUUCGAUAUGAGUUUGCCCUAUGUCUUUCAAUUUCUCCCUAUGAAAUUUCUAAUGAGAGAGAGAAAUUUCAAAACUUCUGUGAACAGCUGAACACAGUAUUUGUGAAGCUGAAGCAUAAGCCAGUAGAGUUCGAGUCAGUUACAGUCGAUGCCCUGAUGUCCUUUUUCCGUACCACCAACAACAGGCCGCUCCUUCAGUCAGGCUUGAUGCAACUGGACAGCAUCAUCCGCAGCCUGUACGAACUGGUUAAGCAGCUGCCCGACUGACGAACAGGUCCGACCAUCAUCCUGGAUCUCACUUGAUGCUAUAUAGGAUGUUAAAGAUGCACGGGUACAUCAUCCAUAAUGACUGGCCAGACUGACUGACCAACAGGUAGGACCACCAUGAAAAGGUUAAAGUAAGUCAAAGGUCAAGGCCAUGAGGAAAAGAAGUCGGAUGCAGAUGCAGAUUGAUCGUGAAUCAAGAAAAUUGUAUUCCUUUGUCUGUCUAGAACCAUACGGUCUGCACUUCAGACUUUCCUCUAUCUCUAACUCUCUUAAGCUGUGAUACGUAUAACUGAAAUUCCAUCAAUCAAUCAAUCAAUCAACCCAUACCCCCACCCACCCUCCGACGAAUGAACGAUAGAACGAGAACAAUCCACCCAGUUAAGGUACAAUGACUAGACAAACAAAUGACUGAAAACAUCAGCAGUAUUCUGCCAUGGUGCUACAUUAACACAGUCAGCCAAAUCACAGUCUGACCACCUAGUCCUCUGUAGCCAUCUCACUCGUGGAGAUCCGAGGUAGAAUAGGUCUUCAGCAACCCAUGCUUGCUGGUAAAAGGCGACUAUGCUUGUCGUAAGAGGCGACUAACGGGAUCGGGUGGUCAGACUUGCUGACCUGGUUGAUGCAUGUCAUCA
rnacentral:misc_RNA from 1 species